GGGGCGGGGCUCCGCGCGGCGGCCGUUAGGGGCGGCCGUUAGGGGCGGCCGUUAGCGCCUGCCCCGCCCCCCGCCGUGAGGGGAGCGCGGCGCCGGCGCUCCCGGAGACGGUGUUGCGCAGGGCUUCGAGCUGUAGCCGACCCGGAGCGGGACCCUGUGACUUACUGAAGCAACUUAAAAAGCUGCAGCCCGCACUUGUUGGAGCCAAAUCAGACUGCGCAAGACUGUAUAUUCAGUGCUGCCAACGCUCCUCCACUCUGCCAGGCACCAUCCCGCAACUCUCAAAGGCUUGCAGGAGCAGGUUUUAAAUUAAUACGAGAUCAUACUGAAGAUCAAUCCAAAAGCCAUUAACAUUCAUGAGAAUCAUGAAAUCCAUUGAUUUCAGUUGGCCAAAAGUAUUUUACUUAUUGACGGAAUAGUGAAUUAUAAUCUGUAUUUCUGUACUUCUGAUUUGCAACCAUUUAGAGCAGAUAGCUCUAAAAAUAAAUCAUUCAUUCCACAGACCAGAUGCAUCUCUUUCUUCACAAUUUCAUUAAUUUUUACUAAAAAAAGUUAACACAUUAAGCUGCUGCCAAUAGCUAUCGCCAAACAACAAAAACCCUGCAACAUUUUGUUCUUAAUUGACUCUUCUGAGCAUUUUUCCAAUCUUUUGAGUGCAGAAUACAAAAAGAGACUUAAAAAAGACUUUUAAACACUGUUUGUAUGGUUUUUGAUUUAUUGUAGAAAAGUUAUUGUAAUGCAGCUCAUUUUUGUACAUCUAAAUCCCAUAAAACAAAUCCAUAGAAAUGAGGAUACUACAAGCAUGCAGUCUGCCAUUUUCUUUUUUAAAUGAUUCUGUUCACAAAAAUACCAACACUUUUUUUUCUUUGAAAGCCACUAAAGCAGAGGGAGAGCAAAGCAUGCAACACUGUACACAUUUGCAUAGUAUAGUUUACCCAGCAUGCCUUGUAGAAUGCUACACAUACAGUAUCUAUAGAAGUAAGGACAGAAAGGGGCAAAUCAGCAAAGAAGAAAACAUACAUUUUUCUUUUCUUUCUUUUCUUUUUCUUUUUUUUUUGUAAAGGCAAUAACGUCUUUACCAUGGUGAGUCUGAACUGGCUCCAAAUGAAGACACAGUCAGGCUAUCACUGGGAACUAGUUUGGGUGAGAAACAGGUUUUCUGGGAACUGAAAAGCCCAAGGCCCAUGGUUCAGAGUUUGAAUGACUGCUUUCAUCUUAUUACUUUAUCAUUUUACAUCUUGUGUGUACAUAAAAUUGUAUUUCGCUUGAUUCUUUUCCUAUGCUCUUCUUGUACAAUUUCACUGACUUUAUCUUGCACAUAUUAGAGCAGAAUAAGGCCUGUUUCGAAUGCAAACACACCCUGGGUCUAAGCAUGCAUUCUGUAAGCUUACUUUCCUUUUUGUUUUAAAUUUUCAGCAAUGUCACUGGAAGUUUUGGGUGGACUCUUUCACAGUUCUUAUAAUGUAAUGUCUUCCCUCCCUCCUGAUACACAAAAGCAAGUAGCAUUACAGCCCCAAGAACUUGCUUAUUGGGAGUAUUUCAUUCCUGACCUUGGGCUACCAACAGUACUGGAAUAUUCAUCAGUCAUAUGACAAAAUCUGUACAUCGGCCAUAAUUAGAAAUCUGCUUGUAUUCACGUAAUUUCAGUUUUGAGGAGGAAAUUACAACAAAUGAAUGCAGGGACUUUCUAAUUAAAUAUUUUUCAUUAAUUAACAUGGAAGGAAUACAAGUUAUUGAAAAAUCAAAUCACAUAUGCAAAAUGCAAGGCUUAGAAAUAAACUGUUGGAAGUAUCAGGCAGCAAUUUAAACUGAUGGAAAAUGCAAUAAAUUCAUUGACACUGAAUCAAAAAAAUUACCUAUUUUUUCAAAAAUACCGUGCCAAAUGUAAUAGUGGAAUUCUUGUAAAUUUGUGCUAUUAUAAAUGUGCUUUUUUCCUUGCUUUGUUUUCAUGUCAUCGGCAAAAUAUAUCAUUUUGUACUGUACAGUAUAUUUUCUUACUAUAUUGAUUUUCUACUGCUUAUACAGAGUAGAAAUAAUAUCAAAGGGGAGACUGUGGCAAUCAUUUUUAAUUUUUCAGGAAAUAGUUGUAAGGCAUAUGAUAAGCGCUGUGUGACAUUUAGGGUCAGACCUUGCAACUGCUGGGCUUCCAGACACGACAGUCAUAAAGGCUGUGCCCAGCAGCGGUUGUCUGCAGGAUCGAGUUCUCGGGAGAAUCCAGAGCAGCGCACGGCUAAGAGCGUGAAGGGAAAAGGCAAGUCUGCGAAGCGUCACUGAGACCAAGCCAACAUCACUUCCAGCUUCACCACUUCCAAAGGAAGUGACCGUGAAGCACAAGAGGAAUGCUACAGUCCUAUUAACGUUUUAAAAACAAUCCUACCUUCUCCCACGCUUUCUAUAUGGAUUCAGAGUAUUUCUCUUGACUUAUUAAAUGGAUUCCACAACUCAGGAAAAAGAUUUUUUUCUCCAACCUAACAAAAAUUUUGAUACUAAGUAGCAUUUACAGCUCUUUAUCCAAGUCAAUUCCUUACAUAUGUAUUUUCUACAACAUUAUUAAAAUGUACCUUUAUUUUUAAAGACAUACCUUUAUUUUUCUUGAUAAAAUAAACUGGACUUGGAUAACAAUAUAAUAAAGGUUAUUCAAAUUACUUUUCUUAAAACAAUAUACUCUCUUUUGGCAUCAUUUUAAAGAUAGUGGGAAUUUAAUUUCCCCAAAGUUCGAGUUGGCUACGCUACAUUAUCUUACAGUCCGGAUACACAUAGUAGAACUACUAUGUGAAGGAGUAAGAGGUAGCUGCAACAAAAUACAUUAUAGCAGAACCCCAUGUAUCCAAACUUAUAUUAAUACCAAUUGGGGCAACAGAACCCAGUUUUAAAAUAAAGAUUUUUAGGAAAAAAGACAGAUUUGUGUAAGUGGUAUUUUACACAAUAUGCAUCUGAUUGUUUCAUUAAUGGUCACUAAUUAUUUUUGCUUUAAAAAAAAUGAAGACUGUGGAAUCAAAGACAGGUUUCAUAAACACAGAAUUCAGAAAAAAAACAUAUAGUAGAGGACACAUUUAAUGUAUUCUUAAAGAAAGUAACGGACUGAUGAAAGCCCUAAUUCGCUCAGACCAGUAUGCUAUAAAAUAAUAGUAAGUAUUAGCAAUAUUAUUUUGAGAAUGGUAAUGUCUGUAAAGAUGUGAGAUUCGGGGAAGUUCAGAGGAGUCAGUGGAAUUGAGACGACACUGAACUCAGAAGACCUGGAGUCAAACUGACCCCAAAGCGACGGGCCUGCGCACAUCUCAGCAACUCCCACCACGUGGCACUUCCAGCACCGCAGCGAGCUGGUGGCACAGCAGAGACCUGCCAAAAGCGCGCUCUCGCCAGGAGCUUGCAACUACCUUUCUUCCUGUUUGUAAUCUACUAUCGUAAGUACUCAUUAAGCAUUAUUUUAAAAGCAAGGAGCAUAUAAAGAUGAAAUCUCCAGAUACCAUCUGCAGAAGGAGCUCUCAAACCUGGUGGAAAAAAAACCACUAAAAUAUUUUUCUACUUGCUGCAAAACCAAAACUAGCGCUCUGAGUACGAUCACCGGAAAGGUGUCUGCUGAAGGCACAGAGCCACCUCCCAUCCCAAGCACACGCAAAGUAUCUGGCGCCAUCAGAAACUACUCUGGCUUAUGGAGCACAAAAUCUGGGGCACCACUUAGUUUCCAUGCUGAGAUAAUUUUUCAGAGGAAAAUCCAGGUGUAGGGCCAUACUAUACUAUGGAUUCUCAAGCAGAGGAAGUGAUUUUUGUCAAUCAAUCAGACCUGCUUAGAAAAUAAUUAUGUAAUUUGCCCCAUUGUUUAUAAACUAAAAUUUGAUAUAAAACAGCUUUAGUUAUGUUCCUUUAAGCAAUAAUUUCUUAAUAUACUCAGGCAUAAAACAUAAUCACUUCCAAGUUGCAUGUCCCAUGGCAUAAAUGUUCAUCUAUGUCAUUAUUAAAAGAACCUGUACAUCUAUCAAAUACAACGUGCCAAGAAGAAAAUAUUUUAAAUUGAAAGGUUAACAAUGAAUUGUCUUUAAGGCGGCCUCAAGAUUUUUAAAAUACUUUGCUAAUUCAUUUAUAAAGAUAUGAAUGCACUGAAGUAUAUUGUCUUUAGAUAUUAAGAUUGUCAUGUCACCUUUAUUGAGUAAAUCAGCAUUAAUCCCAAAGUGUCCUAAUGAAAAACUCAGAUAGCAAAAACUCAUCAACAUUUUAGAAACGUUUCUAAAAUCCUCUGUAUAAGCCACAGCUUAGGAACAGAACUCUGAUCUUUGCUGUAAUAAUAUUAUAACAACAAGAAGAAAUGGCAUGAGGAAUAGAAAAUUAGUCUUAUUCGUAUUCAUUCAGGAAUACAUGAACUUCACAAUUUUAUAUAACGCCAUCGCAUAAUAAAUCACAACACAGCUGGCUAGCAUUGCUGAAGGUCUAAUACAAAUACUAUGAGUUUACAUGUCUUGAUCAACAUUGCAACUUUUAUUGAUUACUGUGUUUCCUAAAAAUAAUUUAUUUUUAAAAUGAAAGAGUUCCAAUAGCUUGUAUCUAGAAUAAAUUAAUAAUCUAUUAGCACGUUCGGUAUAUUUGUACUUAAAGAUAUAACUAUCUUCAAAGAAUAAAAAAAACACCAAGCAAGGAGUUCUGCUGGAUCUUUUAUAACUGAUUGCUUAUAUUAAAAU